GAUGAACGCUGGCGGCGUGCCUAAUACAUGCAAGUCGAGCGAACGGACGAGAAGCUUGCUUCUCUGAUGUUAGCGGCGGACGGGUGAGUAACACGUGGAUAACCUACCUAUAAGACUGGGAUAACUUCGGGAAACCGGAGCUAAUACCGGAUAAUAUUUUGAACCGCAUGGUUCAAAAGUGAAAGACGGUCUUGCUGUCACUUAUAGAUGGAUCCGCGCUGCAUUAGCUAGUUGGUAAGGUAACGGCUUACCAAGGCAACGAUGCAUAGCCGACCUGAGAGGGUGAUCGGCCACACUGGAACUGAGACACGGUCCAGACUCCUACGGGAGGCAGCAGUAGGGAAUCUUCCGCAAUGGGCGAAAGCCUGACGGAGCAACGCCGCGUGAGUGAUGAAGGUCUUCGGAUCGUAAAACUCUGUUAUUAGGGAAGAACAUAUGUGUAAGUAACUGUGCACAUCUUGACGGUACCUAAUCAGAAAGCCACGGCUAACUACGUGCCAGCAGCCGCGGUAAUACGUAGGUGGCAAGCGUUAUCCGGAAUUAUUGGGCGUAAAGCGCGCGUAGGCGGUUUUUUAAGUCUGAUGUGAAAGCCCACGGCUCAACCGUGGAGGGCCAUUGGAAACUGGAAAACUUGAGUGCAGAAGAGGAAAGUGGAAUUCCAUGUGUAGCGGUGAAAUGCGCAGAGAUAUGGAGGAACACCAGUGGCGAAGGCGACUUUCUGGUCUGUAACUGACGCUGAUGUGCGAAAGCGUGGGGAUCAAACAGGAUUAGAUACCCUGGUAGUCCACGCCGUAAACGAUGAGUGCUAAGUGUUAGGGGGUUUCCGCCCCUUAGUGCUGCAGCUAACGCAUUAAGCACUCCGCCUGGGGAGUACGACCGCAAGGUUGAAACUCAAAGGAAUUGACGGGGACCCGCACAAGCGGUGGAGCAUGUGGUUUAAUUCGAAGCAACGCGAAGAACCUUACCAAAUCUUGACAUCCUUUGACAACUCUAGAGAUAGAGCCUUCCCCUUCGGGGGACAAAGUGACAGGUGGUGCAUGGUUGUCGUCAGCUCGUGUCGUGAGAUGUUGGGUUAAGUCCCGCAACGAGCGCAACCCUUAAGCUUAGUUGCCAUCAUUAAGUUGGGCACUCUAAGUUGACUGCCGGUGACAAACCGGAGGAAGGUGGGGAUGAUGUCAAAUCAUCAUGCCCCUUAUGAUUUGGGCUACACACGUGCUACAAUGGACAAUACAAAGGGCAGCGAAACCGCGAGGUCAAGCAAAUCCCAUAAAGUUGUUCUCAGUUCGGAUUGUAGUCUGCAACUCGACUACAUGAAGCUGGAAUCGCUAGUAAUCGUAGAUCAGCAUGCUACGGUGAAUACGUUCCCGGGUCU
rnacentral:rRNA from 1 species